AGAAUCAACGCUGGCGGCGUGCCUAACACAUGCAAGUCGAACGAGAAAGUGGAGCAAUCCAUGAGUACAGUGGCGCACGGGUGAGUAACACGUGACUAACCUACCCUUGAGUGGGGGAUAAACCUAGAGAAAUCUGGGCUAAUACCGCAUAAUACCUUCGGGUCAAAGGAGCAAUUCGCUUAAGGAGGGGGUCGCGGCCGAUUAGUUAGUUGGCGGGGUAAUGGCCCACCAAGACUAUGAUCGGUAUCCGGCCUGAGAGGGCGCACGGACACACUGGAACUGAAACACGGUCCAGACUCCUACGGGAGGCAGCAGUGGGAAUUUUGCGCAAUGGGGGAAACCCUGACGCAGCAACGCCGCGUGGAGGAUGAAGUCCCUUGGGACGUAAACUCCUUUCGAUCGGGACGAUAAUGACGGUACCGAGAGAAGAGCCCGGCUAACUUCGUGCCAGCAGCCGU
rnacentral:rRNA from 1 species